AAAAGUUGGGGAGACCUGACGCUGAAAGAUGGACUCGCGUCCCAUUAGCUAGUUGGUAGGGUAAUGGCCUACCAAGGCGACGAUGGGUAGCCGGCCUGAGAGGGUGGCCGGCCACACUGGGACUGAGACACGGCCCAGACUCCUACGGGAGGCAGCAGUGGGGAAUUUUGCGCAAUGCUCGUAAGAGUGACGCAGCGACGCCGCGUGAAUGACGAAGGCCUUCGGGUCGUAAAGUUCUUUCGACAGGGAAGAAAAUGCCUAUAAGUAACUGUGUAUGUAUUGACGGUACCUGUAUAAGCAGCCCCGGCUAACUCCGUGCCAGCAGCCGCGGUAAUACGGAGGGGGCGAGCGUUGUUCGGAGUGACUGGGCGUAAAGAGCACGUAGGCGGUGUUGUAAGUCAUUAGUCAGAGACUAGAGCUCAACUUUAGUAAGGCUAGUGAUACUAUAAUACUAGAGUAUCAGAGAGGAUUGCAGAAUUCCUGGUGUAGCGGUGAAAUGCGUAGAUAUCAGGAGGAAUACCGUUAGCGAAGGCGGCAAUCUGGCUGGAAACUGACGCUGAGGUGCGAAAGCGUGGGUAGCAAACAGGAUUAGAUACCCUGGUAGUCCACGCUGUAAACGAUGGAUGCUAGGUGUUGGGCUUUUAAGUUCA
rnacentral:rRNA from 1 species